GAAAGGGCGCGCAUACCGACACGCCUGGGAGACCAACCUCUCCCCAGUUAGA
rfam:Clostridium hylemonae DSM 15053 genomic scaffold Scfld_02_2, whole genome shotgun sequence.